UAGGGAAUCUUCGGCAAUGGACGGAAGUCUGACCGAGCAACGCCGCGUGAGUGAAGAAGGUUUUCGGAUCGUAAAGCCCUGUUGUUAGAGAAGAACGUUGGUAGGAGUGGAAAAUCUACCAAGCGACGGUAACUAACCAGAAAGGGACGGCUAACUACGUGCUAGCAGCCGCGGUAAUACGUAGGUCCCGAGCGUUGUCCGGAUUUAUUGGGCGUAAAGCGAGCGCAGGCGGUUCUUUAAGUCUGAAGUUAAAGGCAGUGGCUUAACCAUUGUACGCUUUGGAAACUGGAGGACUUGGGUGCAGAAGGGGAGAGUGGAAUUCCAUGUGUAGCGGUGAAAUGCGGAGAUAUAUGGAGGAACACCGGUGGCGAAAGCGGCUCUCUGGUAUGUAACUGACGCGGAGGCUCGAAAGGGUGGGGAGCAAACAGG
rnacentral:rRNA from 1 species